UGGUGUUCCCGCACCACCUUAUUCGGGUAUCAGGGGCCAUGAAGGCUGACUUGGACAUCUGGGGGGAAUUCUUGCGGGAUUUUAACGGGAAAGUGUUCUUUCGGGAGCCGGCGGCGUCUUCUCAGGAGUUGGAGCUGUUUACGGACGCGUCGGGGAGUGUAGGGUUUGGGGCUUACUUUUUGGGUCAAUGGUGCACUGGUACUUGGCCAGGGGCCUGGAAGGCCAGCCCGCUGAUACGCAACCUAGCGUUCCUGGAAUUGUUCCCGUUGGUAGUGGCGCUGUCACUGUGGGGUCCACAGUUGAGGGAUAAGAAGGUGGUAUUCUUUUCGGACAAUAUGGCAGUGGUAGAUGCAGUGAACGGGCUAUCAGCGUCCUCUAUCCCGGUGGUGCGGCUUCUUCGCCAUUUUGUCUUGUUCUGUAUGAGGUUUAACAUUGUGUUUCGGGCGCGCCACGUGCCGGGACUGUUGAAUGUCAUUGCUGAUGCGUUGUCUCGUUCACAGUGGGAGAGAUUUCAGCAGGUGGCACCUGGCGCAUGGGAGGAAGGGAUGUCUUGCCUGGACGAGAUGUGGUGGCUCGGGACAUCAUGCUUGGCGGACUGAUCAGGGAUUCCCUGGCACCCGCUACCUGGGCGGCAUAC